GUGAGGAAUAUUGGUCAAUGGGCGCAAGCCUGAACCAGCCAUGCCGCGUGCAGGAAGACGGUCCUAUGGAUUGUAAACUGCUUUUAUUUGGGAAUAAACUCCGGUACGUGUACCGGCCUGAAGGUACCAAAUGAAUAAGCACCGGCUAACUCCGUGCCAGCAGCCGCGGUAAUACGGAGGGUGCAAGCGUUAUCCGGAAUCAUUGGGUUGAAAGGGUCCGCAGGCGGUCUUAUAAGUCAGUGGUGAAAGCCUACAGCUCAACUGUAGAACUGCCAUUGAUACUGUAGGACUUGAAUUCGAUCGAAGUGGGCGGAAUGUGACACGUAGCGGUGAAAUGCUUAGAUAUGUCACAGAACACCGAUAGCGAAGGCAGCUCACUAGGUCUGGAUUGACGCUCAGGGACGAAAGCGUGGGGAGCAAACAGGAUUAGAUACCCCAGUAGUCC
rnacentral:rRNA from 1 species